rnacentral:tRNA from 1 species
GGAGGGAUGGCCGAGUGGUUUAAGGCGGCGGUCUUGAAAACCGUUGACCGGAUGGUCCGUAGGUUCGAAUCCUACUCCCUCCGCCA